CUCGAAUGUAAUUUUAAAUUCAUUACCCCAGACAAAUUGGCUUAAUUAACAAGUGACCGCCGCCAUAGUGAGACUUCAUUCUUUGGAUUUUUGUUUGUGUUUCACCACUUAAAAAAGCAAAUAAAAAUGUUCACCUGCGAAUAUUGCAACCGCUCGUUCAGCCGUAAAGACCACCUGGCGAGGCACGGGGACUGUCGCGCAGCAGUACAAAUUUGUGACGUUUGCGGCGGGAUAUACAAAUCCGAGGGGGCUCUCCGACGCCAUAAACGCGAGAAGCAUGAGGUUCCCAAGGCGAAAAGACCCGCCGCCGCCCCUAUUGCUGCAGACGAACCCAAGCGCCCGAGACUUGACCUACCGGAAGCUUCGACAUCAUCAUCAUCACCAUCAUCCACGCGCCAUUGUACGCAGUGUAACUUGACCAUCCUGCAAUGAGAUGGCA